rnacentral:rRNA from 1 species
AUUGAACGCUGGCGGCAGGCCUAACACAUGCAAGUCGAGCGGAUGAAGGGAGCUUGCUCCUGGAUUCAGCGGCGGACGGGUGAGUAAUGCCUAGGAAUCUGCCUGGUAGUUGGGGAUAACGUCCGGAAACGGGCGCUAAUACCGCAUACGUCCUGAGGGAGAAAGAGGGGGAUCUUCGGACCUCACGCUAUCAGAUGAGCCUAGGUCGGAUUAGCUAGUUGGUGGGGUAAAGGCCUACCAAGGCGACGAUCCGUAACUGGUCUGAGAGGAUGAUCAGUCACACUGGAACUGAGACACGGUCCAGACUCCUACGGGAGGCAGCAGUGGGGAAUAUUGGACAAUGGGCGAAAGCCUGAUCCAGCCAUGCCGCGUGUGUGAAGAAGGUCUUCGGAUUGUAAAGCACUUUAAGUUGGGAGGAAGGGCAGUAAGUUAAUACCUUGCUGUUUUGACGUUACCAACAGAAUAAGCACCGGCUAACUUCGUG